GACGAACGUUGGCGGUGCGCUUAAUGCAUGCAAGUCGAGCGAAAAGCAGUCGUUCCGUAAGGUUCGACUGUGGACAGCGGCGAACGGGUGCGUAACACGUGAGAAACCUGCCCCCCAGACCGGGAUAGCCCAGGGAAACCUGGAUUAAUACCGGAUACUCUCCUCGGACCGCAUGGUCUGUUGAGGAAACAGUCCGCUGCUGGGGGAUGGUCUCGCGGCCUAUCAGGUAGUUGGUGAGGUAACGGCUCACCAAGCCGAAGACGGGUAGCUGGUCUGAGAGGACGAUCAGCCACACUGGAACUGAGACACGGUCCAGACUCCUACGGGAGGCAGCAGCAGGGAAUAUUGCACAAUGGGCGAAAGCCUGAUGCAGCGACACCGCGUGCGGGAUGAAGGCCUUCGGGUUGUAAACCGCUUUCAGGAGGGAAGAAAAUGACGGUACCUCCAGAAGAAGCUCCGGCCAACUACG
rnacentral:rRNA from 1 species